rnacentral:rRNA from 1 species
AACGAACGCUGGCGGCGCGCUUAACACACGCAAGUCGAACGAGAAGGCGUAGCAAUACGCUUGUACAGUGGCGAACGGGUGAGGAAUACAUGGGGUAAACCUACCCUCGAGUGGGGGAUAACCCGCCGAAGGCGGGCUAAUACCGCGUACGCUUCCGAUCUUGCGGGAUUGGAAGGAAAGCUGUCCCUUGGGGAUGGCGCUCAAGGAUGGGCUCAUGUCCUAUCAGCUUGUUGGUAGGGAACGGCCUACCAAGGCAUCGAC